UUUUAUGAGAAAACCCACAAUUUUAUAACUGGUACAUUUGAUGUUGGAAGAAUGGAACAUGCAGAGGAGAAAACUAAGGAUUGUGUUCAUGUGGGCUUCCAGGCCAUCAAGAUGCCCUCCAACCUGAAGCAGGAAGUGAACAAUGGCUUGAUCAAUGUGGAAGAAACUUCAGAAGCACUGAUAAAGACAGGACACAUUAAUGUAUAUACCAUGUGAGGAAACCUGAGCAGGGCUUCUGGAGUGCCCAGUUUUACACGGGCAGUGGUUACACAGGGUCACACUGGUCGGUGGCAUAAACAGUCUUUGCACACUGCACAGAAGGCAGAUCUACCCCACCUACUGAGGAUGUAACCUGAACCGCUGGACUUGAAUGCAACAGUUGGGACACGACAGUUGAAUCUGAGACUUAGACAAAUGGAGUGACUUAUGCAAAACCACACGGUCCAGAGCUGGGAUAAAUGAGAAUCCAGUUCUCAUUCCUUUUCAUGGUCCCUCCACAUUAGUUCACAGAACAUCCUAUCAAAAUGAUGACUGUUACAGCAAAGGGUCCCCACAAAAACUCAAUA